rnacentral:rRNA from 1 species
CACGUAGGCACCAAGCGUUGUCCGGAAUUAUUGGGCGUAAAGAGCUCGUAGGCGGUUUGUCGCGUCUGCUGUGAAAACUCGGGGCUUAACCCCGGGCCUGCAGUGGGUACGGGCAGACUAGAGUGCGGUAGGGGAGACUGGAAUUCCUGGUGUAGCGGUGAAAUGCGCAGAUAUCAGGAGGAACACCGGUGGCGAAGGCGGGUCUCUGGGCCGUAACUGACGCUGAGGAGCGAAAGCGUGGGGAGCGAACAGG